CAUAUACUUCCUCCGUCCGAAAAUACUUGUCAUCAAAAUAGAUUAAAAAAAUAUGUAUUUAGAACUAAAAUACGUCUAGAUAUAUCUCCUUUUAUCCAUUUUAAUGACAAGUAUUUCCGGAUGGAGGGAGUAUUAU
rfam:Triticum aestivum genome assembly, contig: Triticum_aestivum_CS42_TGACv1_scaffold_603767_7DL